UGGGGAAUUUUGGACAAUGGGCGCAAGCCUGAUCCAGCCAUGCCGCGUGCGGGAAGAAGGCCUUCGGGUUGUAAACCGCUUUUGUCAGGGAAGAAAUCUUCUGAGUUAAUACCUCGGGAGGAUGACGGUACCUGAAGAAUAAGCACCGGCUAACUACGUGCCAGCAGCCGCGGUAAUACGUAGGGUGCAAGCGUUAAUCGGAAUUACUGGGCGUAAAGCGUGCGCAGGCGGUUUUGUAAGACAGAGGUGAAAUCCCCGGGCUCAACCUGGGAACUGCCUUUGUGACUGCAAGGCUUGAGUGCGGCAGAGGGGGAUGGAAUUCCGCGUGUAGCAGUGAAAUUGCGUAGAUAUGCGGAGGAACACCGAUGGCGAAGGCAAUCCCCUGGGCCUGCACUGACGCUCAUGCACGAAAGCGUGGGGAGCAAACAGGAUUAGAUACCCUGGUAGUCCACGCCCUAAACGAUGUCAACUGGUUGUUGGGAAGGUUCCUUCUCAGUAACGUAGCUAACGCGUGAAGUUGACCGCCUGGGGAGUACGGCCGCAAGGUUGAAACUAAA
rnacentral:rRNA from 1 species